AGAGUUUGAUCAUGGCUCAGGAUGAACGCUGGCGGUCUGCUUAACACAUGCAAGUCGAACGGACUCUUCGGAGUUAGUGGCGGACGGGUGAGUAACGCGUGAGAAUCUACCUUCAGGACGGAGACAACAGUUGGAAACGACUGCUAACCCCCGAUGAACCGAAAGGGCAAAUAUUUAUAGCCUGAAGAAGAGCUCGCGUCCGAUUAGCUAGUUGGAGAGGUAAAAGCUCACCAAGGCGACGAUCGGUAGCUGGUCUGAGAGGACGAUCAGCCACACUGGGACUGAGACACGGCCCAGACUCCUACGGGAGGCAGCAGUGGGGAAUUUUCCGCAAUGGGCGAAAGCCUGACGGAGCAAGACCGCGUGGGGGAAGAAGGCUCUUGGGUCGUAAACUCCUUUUCUCUGGGAAGAACAAAAUGACGUACCAGUGAAUCAGCUCGAUUCGCUC
rnacentral:rRNA from 1 species